AGCAGCCGCGGUAAUUCCAGCUCCAAUAGCGUAUAUUAAAGUUGUUGCAGUUAAAAAGCUCGUAGUUGAAUUUCGGGACUAAUAUGUCGGUCGUACUUUGUACGUACUAGCAUUAUUGGUUUCUCCCUUCUGACGAACCACGAUGUCAUUAAUUUGGUGUCAUGGGAAAUCAGGACUGUUACUUUGAAAAAAUUAGAGUGUUUAAAGCAAGCUCGCGCUUGAAUACAUUAGCAUGGAAUAAUGAAAUAGGACGUUUGAUUCUAUUUUGUUGGUUUCUAGGAUCGACGUAAUGAUUAAUAGGGAUAGUUGGGGGCAUUAGUAUUCAAUUGUCAGAGGUGAAAUUCUUGGAUUUAUUGAAGACUAACUACUGCGAAAGCAUUUGCCAAGGAUGUUUUCGUUAAUCAAGAACGAAAGUUAGGGGAUCGAAGACGAUCAGAUACCGUCGUAGUCUUAACCAUAAACUAUGCCGACUAGGGAUCGGAUGAUGUUAAUUUUUAAUGUACUCA
rnacentral:rRNA from 1 species